rnacentral:lncRNA from 1 species
GUGCAUUCAGACAGGCCCAGAGCAGGAGCAAAGGCCCCAUUGUGAGGCUGCUGGUGGCGGAUGGGGUGGGGGUGGGGUCCAGGUGGACCUAAAAACUAGGCUAAGACGCAUUUGGUUUUUAGUCUUCAAGAGUCAAGGGCCAGGAAGUUCCUGUUGUGGCUCAGAGGUAACAAACCUGACUAGUAUACAUGAGGAUGUGGGUUCGAUCCUUGGCCUCUCUCAGGGGGUUAAGGAUCUGGCAUUGCUCUGGCUGUGGUGUAGGCUGGCCAUUGCAGCUCCAGUUUGACACAUAGCCUGGGAACUUCCAUAGGCCUUGGAUGCAACCCUAAAAAAACCAAAAAAAAAAAAAAAAAAAAAAAAAAAAAAGAGUCAAGGGCCAGCUGAGGCUUUCUAUCUAGGGCGUGGCAUGACCAGAGCCGAGGUUUUGAGAGUCAUCCUGCCCAUCAAUGCCCGUGUCCGGGUGAAUUAGGAGGUAGCUGGGGGGUGGCUGUGGGAAGGAAGACCGGUUCAGAAGCUGUGGAACCCGUCCAGGUACGCGUGAAGGGCUGGUGUGGGUGUGGGUAGGGGAAAAGGAAGGGGCAGUCCUGGGCGCCCUGUUACAAAAGAAGAAUUGGCAGGAAAUGAGGCACCAGGGAGGGGAAGCAAUCAAGAUCACAAUCUGAUUGUUCUCCCUUCCUCACCCAGGUCUUCCGAGAGCUGAAAGGGGGAAAGUGAUGGAUUCAGAGGAAGAGGCGUAUGCAUUUCCAUGCUCACCAUCACCAAAGUGCACAGAGAAGCUUGUGGUCCCUUCUCAAACCAUGAAUUUACUUUGAGCCCAGAGCUCUAUUACUUGGCAGGAACUUGGACUUGGCAGAAAUACUGGCAAUUCCACAGCCACUUUCAGUCCCCUGGCAUUCCAGUGUAAAAUCAAUGUGGAGACUGGCAUUCAAGAAAUGUUUGGAGUUCCCUGGUAGCUCAGCAGUUUAGGGAUCUGGUGUUGUCACUGCUGUGGCUCAGGUCACUGCUACGGCAUGGAUUCAGUCCCUGGCCAGGUCCCAAUAAAAAAGAGAAAUGCUCAACA